AUUGAACGCUGGCGGCAGGCUUAACACAUGCAAGUCGAGCGGAGCGAGGGUGCUUGCACCUUAGCUUAGCGGCGGACGGGUGAGUAAUGCUUAGGAAUCUGCCUAUUAGUGGGGGACAACAUUCCGAAAGGAAUGCUAAUACCGCAUACGCCCUACGGGGGAAAGCAGGGGAUCUUCGGACCUUGCGCUAAUAGAUGAGCCUAAGUCGGAUUAGCUAGUGGGUGGGGUAAAGGCCUACCAAGGCGACGAUCUGUAGCGGGUCUGAGAGGAUGAUCCGCCACACUGGGACUGAGACACGGCCCAGACCCCUACGGGAGGCAGCAGUGGGGAAUAUUGGACAAUGGGCGGAAGCCUGAUCCAGCCAUGCCGCGUGUGUGAAGAAGGCCUUUUGGUUGUAAAGCACUUUAAGCGAGGAGGAGGCUACUUAGAUUAAUACUCUGGGAUAGUGGACGUUACUCGCAGAAUAAGCACCGGCUACCUCUGUGCCAGCAGCCCGCGGUAACAC
rnacentral:rRNA from 1 species